CUGGACGGCAGUCUGGAAACGACCAAUGAGAUCUUGGACUCUGCCUCUCACGACUGCCCCUUAGUCACUCAGACAUACGGCGCAGCUGCAGGAAAAGCCUACACAGACGACCUGGGUGCUGUGGGUGGCGCCUGCCUGGAGGACGAGGCCAGCGCCCUGCGCCUGGAUGAGGACAGCGAGCACCCGCCCAUGAUUCUUCGGACUGACUGAACUUGACCUGUGACCUCUGACCCGGGGAGCAGAGAACACUGGCUUCACAGAGGACUUUGUGCAUUGCUGCUAUGAACUUUGACCUGAGUCGGGGGAGAGGAUGGCAGAGACUUUAUUAAAAAAAAAAAAAGAUUGUAGUGGUAGUCUAACUCCAUAACGCUGAGGAAAUACAUCAUUUUCACUUCAGUGGCUUUUAAAUCCUGCUUAUGAAUUUUAGCUUUUUGUUUGUUUGUUUUCUCUUUUUGCCAAAAUUAACUGUUUGGUGAAGCCCGCAAAACCUCCUCGCUUUGCAUGCAUGAACGUGCCAAGCCAGCAUAGGGGAGCUAGAAGCCACUUUCCAGCCACCUGCCGUUGGGUUUUUUCAUAUCUGUACAUAAUGCCGAGUGCGUAAGGAAACCGUGGCGUCGCGCACAGUGGGUCUGCUUGUCAAGGCCAGUUCUGCAGUGACAGGCCCAGGGGCUGCCCACCAGGUGUGCUGGGCAGACUUCAGCUGGGACAGAAGUCCGAUCUCCCUAGGGCCCCACCUGGACCAUUUUCCCUCCGUUUUAUUUUGUUAAUUAAAUUCUUUCCAAAUUGGAUCGCUCUGGGAUUUCUUCCAUGGUGGACUUUUGUUUCUGAUCUUGUUUUCCCUGUGGAUAUUGGAGGACAGCGAGGUUCUUUCUGAUACUAAAAACCUUUCUUUCAGGCAGCAAAUGAACUUGAAAGGUUGCCUGGACUCGCUGGAGCAAAGGAAAGCGAUUUUGUUUGUAUAAUUAAAUGAUCUGUUCUUCUACU
rnacentral:lncRNA from 1 species